rnacentral:rRNA from 1 species
UAUUAUUUUAAAUAUAAUUAAUAAUGCUUGGGUAGUACUAGAUGUUUCUUGAAACCCAAAGAAUUUGGCGGUAUUUUAGUCUUUUCAGAGGAACCUGUUUUUUUUAUCGAUAUUCCACGUUAUAUCUUGCUUUGUUUUGUUUUCAGUAUGUAUAUCGCCGUUAUCAGAGUAUUUUUUUAGAAUAAUAAUUUUCUUUAUUUUUUAUUGAAAGUGAUUUCAGGUCAAGGUGCAGUUUAUAGUAAAGUUGAAAUGGGUUACAAUAAAAUUUAUUUAUAAUGAAUUUUUGUAUGAAAUUAUAAUUUGAAGG